UACAGAGGUGGCGAGCGUUAUCCGGAUUGACUGGGCGUAAAGGGCGUGUAGGCGGUUUUAUAAGUCGGUCGUGAAAGGCGUCGGCUCAACCGAAGCAGUGCGGCCGAGACUGUAGGGCUUGGAGCGCGGAAGAGGAAAGGGGAAUUCCCGGUGUAGCAGUGAAAUGCGUAGAUAUCGGGAAGAACACCAAUGGCGAAGGCGCCUUUCUGGUCCGUUGCUGACGCUGAGGCGCGAAAGCCAGGGGAGCGAACGGG
rnacentral:rRNA from 1 species